rnacentral:rRNA from 1 species
GAUGAACGCUGGCGGCGUGCCUAAUACAUGCGAGUCGAACGCUGACGGAGGAGCUUGCUCUUCGGGAUGAGUUGCGAACGGGUGAGUAACGCGUAGGUAACCUGCCUGGUAGCGGGGGAUAACUAUUGGAAACGAUAGCUAAUACCGCAUGACAACAGUUAUGGAAUGAUAACUGUUUAAAAGGGGCAACUGCUCCACUACCAGAUGGACCUGCGGUGUAUUAGCUAGUUGGUGAGGUAACGGCCCACCAAGGCGGAGAUACAGUGCCGGCCUGAAAGGGUGGACGGCCACACUUGGACUUGGGAACCGCCCAAGCUCCUACGGGGAGCAGCAAGAGGGGAUCUUUGGAAAUGGGCGGAAGGCUGACCGAGCAACGCCGCGGGAGUGAAGGAAGUUUUCGGGUUGUAAAGCUCUGUUUUAAGAGAAGAACGAGUGUGAGAGUAGAAAGUUCACACUGUGACGGUAUCUUACCAGAAAGGGACGGCUAACUACGUG